rnacentral:rRNA from 1 species
CCAAGCUACAAAGAGCCAACGGUGAAUGCCUUGGCGCCAAUAACCGAAGAAGGACGUGGAUGACUGCGAAAAGUUACGGUGAGCCGUCUAUCAGGCUUUGACCCGUAAAUAUCCGAAUGAGGAAACUCUGCACCCGUCAUGGGGUGCAACUCUGAAGUGAAUACAUAGCUUCAGUGGAGGGAACCGGGAGAAUUGAAACAUCUCAGUACCCCGAGGAAUGAAAAGCAAACGCGACUCCCUUAGUAGCGGCGAGCGAAAAGGGACGAGGCUAAACCGUGCUGGCGCAAUAGCCUGAUGGCGUUGCCAGUACGGUGUCGUGGGACGACUAGACACUGCAUCAGAGGUGUCACGAAGUUACAAAGUUGCUAGGUAGAAGAAUUGUCUGGGAAGACAAGCCACAGUGGGUAAUAGCCCCGUAUUCGAAACUUAUGCAGCCUUCGAGUCCAAUCCCAAGUAAUGCCGGAUCCGAGCAAUCUGGCAUGAAUCUGUGGGGACCACCCCAUAAGCCUAAGUAUUUAUUGGCGACCGAUAGUGAACCAGUACCGUGAGGGAAAGGUGAAAAGAACCCCGGGAGGGGAGUGAAAUAGUACCUGAAACCGUUGGUUUACAAACAGUCAAAGAGUCGCUGCACGCACUUGUGUGUGCAGUCUCGAUGGCGUGCCUUUUGAAGAAUGAGCCUACGAGUUACGGUUAGUGGCGAGGUUAACCCGUGAGGGGUAGCCGGAGCGAAAGCGAGUCUGAAUAGGGCGUUCAGUCGCUAGCUGUAGACCCGAAGCCGAGUGAUCUAGCCAUGGGCAGGUUGAAGCGGGGGUAAGACCCCGUGGAGGACCGAACACACGUCAGUUGAAAAUGGCGGUGAUGACCUGUGGUAAGGGGCGAAAGACCAAUCAAACUUGGCGAUAGCUGGUUCUCCUCGAAAUGCAUUUAGGUGCAGCGUCAUGCGUUCAGUACCGGAGGUAGAGCACUGGAUGGGUUAGGGGGCCUACAAGCUUACCGACCCCAGCCAAACUCCGAAUUACGGUACUCCAGAGCAUGGCAGUGAGACCACGGGGGAUGAGCUUCGUUGGUCGAAAGGGAAACAGCCCAGAUCAUCAUCUAAGGCCCCUAAUUCAGGACUAAGUGGAAAACGAUGUGAAACCGCAUAGACAGCCAGGAGGUUGGCUUAGAAGCAGCCACCCUUAAAAGAGUGCGUAACAGCUCACUGGUCGAGUGGUUUUGCGCGGACAAUAUAACGGGGCUCAAGUCCUGAGCCGAAGAUAUGGAUUGCAUCGUCAUUCGUGAUGAUGCAGUGGUAGAGGAGCGUUGAUGCAGCAGUGAAGCGGCGGGAUGACCCGACGUGGAGCGGCAUCAAGUGAGAAUGUAGGCAUGAGUAGCGAGAGAGGGGUGAGAAACCCCUCCGCCGAAAGCCCAAGGUUUCCUGGGGAAGGCUAAUCCUCCCAGGGUAAGUCGGGAGCUAAGGAGAGGCCGCGAGGCGUAUCCGAUGCACAACUGGUUGAUAUUCCAGUACCGCCGUGUACACGUCAAGCCCAAGAACGAAAAAGUGGGGGCUGCCUUCGGGCGAACCCACGGAUUUGUUUGCGGGUAGCUGAAGGGGGACACAGGAGGGUAGAUGAUCCGGGGCGAUGGUAGUCCCCGGGUAAGCGAGUAGGAGGUUGCCGAUGAGAGUUGGCGACAUUAACUCCGAGACGCGAUGCCGAUCUCUUUUGAGAGUAGUCAUUGAUCCCACACUGUCGAGAAAAGCCCAGCAGCGAGUUGACACGGCGCCCGUACCCCAAACCGACUCAGGUGGGCGAGUAGAGAAUACUAAGGCGAUCGGGAGAACUAUGGUUAAGGAACUCGGCAAAAUGCCUCCGUAACUUCGGAAGAAGGAGGACCCUUUUUGGUGAUAGGACUUCGCGUCCUUGAGCUAGAAAGGGUGGCACAGAGCAGGGGGUAGCGACUGUUUAACAAAAACACAGCAGCGUGCCAAGCCGCAAGGCGAUGUAUACGCUGUGACGCCUGCCCAAUGCUGGAAGGUCACGAGGAACGGUUAGCCGUAAGGCGAAGCUGUGAAUCUAAGCCCCAGUGAAUGGCGGCCGUAACUAUAACGGUCCUAAGGUAGCGAAAUUCCUUGUCGGGUAAGUUCCGACCUGCACGAAUGGCGUAAC